UACGGAGGGGGCUAGCGUUGUUCGGAAUUACUGGGCGUAAAGCGCGCGUAGGCGGCUUUGUAAGUUAGAGGUGAAAGCCCGGAGCUCAACUCCGGAAUUGCCUUUAAGACUGCAUCGCUAGAAUCAUGGAGAGGUUAGUGGAAUUCCGAGUGUAGAGGUGAAAUUCGUAGAUAUUCGGAAGAACACCGGUGGCGAAGGCGGUCUGCUGGGGUCGAACUGACGCUGAGGCGCGACAGCGUGGGGAGCAAACAGG
rnacentral:rRNA from 1 species